CGGACGCCCCCCUCCAAACAUACAUCUAAGUCAAAAAAAAUUCAAUUUUUUCGGAACCUUUCUCAGAAAGGAACUACUCUAUCCCGAACAACGGUCGGUCGGUUUGGAAACCUCGACCUCCCUCUCUUCACACAUUGUGCUCGUGGUUUUAUCUGCCUCUUGUUCUUUAAGAAACAAACGGCAGAAAAACCACCAAUGUGUGCUUGACACCCCCGGUACAGACUGGUGAACAAUCUUCUUCUUGUUUUCUCCGACCUAGAGCACUCUUUUUUCAAUAGGGGGGCGGUAUUCUUAUUCCUUGGCUCGCCACUUAUGAAACAAAACUAGAUAUUUCUUAUUAUUUUCUUAGGAGCUGAGCUCCGCAUGCGGUUCGAUUAAGAUGUGUAUCUCUUUAUCCAAUUUCGGUCUCGAUUAGUUCACAAGAUUGAAUGGCCAAGUCAUGGAAAAGCCGUUAUUCGAUUGUUUUAAAAGAAUGUUGAGCCGGGCCCGGUCACUUUUUUUUUCAAGUCAGCUUAAGAGGUUCAAAAGAGAAAGUCACUCUCCUUAUUCUUGGCUAGUGGAAUGGAAGCAAGACUUAGCCAAAGAAAGAUGAGACGAGACGGACUGUCAGAGGACGCAGCGGGACUACCAGGGGAAAGCCCGCC
rnacentral:lncRNA from 1 species